rnacentral:rRNA from 1 species
ACGCGCAAAACCUUACCCGGGCUUGAAAUGCAUUUGACCGGCUCAGAGACGAGCCCUCCCUUCGGGGCAAAUGUGUAGGUGCUGCAUGGUUGUCGUCAGCUCGUGCCGUGAGGUGUCGGCUUAAGUGCCAUAACGAGCGCAACCCCUCAUCAUUAGUUACUAACAGGGUCAGGGCUGAGGACUCUAGUGAGACUGCCAUCGUAAGAUGCGAGGAAGGUGGGGAUGACGUCAAAUCAGCACGGCCCUUAUG